rnacentral:rRNA from 1 species
AUGGAGCAAGCAAUCUUAAAACAAGACAAAUGUGGAUUUAUCGCACUACACCAUGCCAUUCGCAACGGGCAUGAGGAGCUUGCGCUGGAGCUGAUUACAGCAGAGCCUUCUCUGUUGCGAGCUGUGAGCGAACGCAACGAGUCACCCAUGUUCUUCGCCUUGACAAGGAAUUUUACACGUGUGUAUGAGCAACUAGUUCAAGAUCCUCUUUCUUCUUACACGGGAGGACUACACGAACGCAAUUGCCUACAUGCUGCAGUCAGAAAUGGGAAUCCAGAAAUGGCAAAGCAGAUUCAACUAUCCUGGACUAAUGAUCACUGA